rfam:Triticum aestivum genome assembly, contig: Triticum_aestivum_CS42_TGACv1_scaffold_031452_1BL
UAACUACUCCCUCCGUCCAGAAAUACUUGUCGGAGAAAUGGAUAAAAAUGGAUGUAUCUAGAACUAAACUACAUCUAGAUACAUCCAUUUUCGAGACAAGUAUUUCCGGACGGAGGGAGUACUCU